rnacentral:rRNA from 1 species
AGUCAUAUGCUUGUCUCAAAGAUUAAGCCAUGCAUGUCUAAGUUUAAGCAAUAAACGGUGGAACUGCGAAUGGCUCAUUAAAUCAGUUAUAGUUUAUUUGAUGGUACCUUACUACUCGGAUAACCGUAGUAAUUCUAGAGCUAGUACGUGCGUAAAUCCCGACUUCUGGAAGGGACGUAUUUAUUAGAUAAAAGGCCGACCGGGCUUGCCCGACUCGCGGUGAAUCAUGAUAACUUCACGAAUCGCAUGGCCUUGUGCCGGCGAUGUUUCAUUCAAAUUUCUGCCCUAUCAACUUUCAACCGUAAGGUAGUGGCCUACGGUGGUGGUAACGGGUGACGGA